rnacentral:rRNA from 1 species
AUGCCGAUACUGGCAGAAGGGUUGACCCGGAAGAUUGCCGAUCCCUUCGACUAUGGUGGCGGGAAUAUCAACCCUCAUGGUGCAGCCGACCCCGGCCUUGUUUAUGACAUCGAUCCCGGUGAUUACAGCAAAUUCUUCGGAUGCACAAUCAUCAGGAGGAUGAACGUGACCUGCAAUGCGACGGCACUGCCGGCUUACCACUUGAACCUGCCCUCCAUUGCUGUCCCCGAGUUGAGGCGUUCGGUAACCGUGUCCAGGACAGUGACGAACGUUGGAAAGGUCAAUUCUGUGUACCGCGUUGUUGUCCAGAGUCCAGCCGGCGUGAGGAUGGAGGUUGAGCCUUCGGUGCUCGUGUUUGAUGCGGCAAACAAAGUGCAGACAUUUAAGGUGAAGUUGUCGCCGAUGUGGAAGAUGCAGGGGGACUACAUGUUUGGCAGCAUUACUUGGCGUAGUGGCCGGAAGGCCGGGAGUGUCCCGGUUGCAGCUCGAAUAACGGUUCAGGAUUUCUAUGCAGAUGCUGCAUAA